AAGACUGGGAUAACUCCGGGAAACCGGAGCUAAUACCGGAUAGUAUCUUGAACCGCAUGGUUCAAGUUGGAAAGACGGUUUCGGCUGUCACUUACAGAUGGGCCCGCGGCGCAUUAGCUAGUUGGUGAGGUAAUGGCUCACCAAGGCAACGAUGCGUAGCCGACCUGAGAGGGUGAUCGGCCACACUGGGACUGAGACACGGCCCAGACUCCUACGGGAGGCAGCAGUAGGGAAUCUUCCGCAAUGGACGAAAGUCUGACGGAGCAACGCCGCGUGAGUGAUGAAGGUUUUCGGAUCGUAAAACUCUGUUGUUAGGGAAGAACAAGUGCGAGAGUAACUGCUCGCACCUUGACGGUACCUAACCAGAAAGCCACGGCUAACUACGUGCCAGCAGCCGCGGUAAUACGUAGGUGGCAAGCGUUGUCCGGAAUUAUUGGGCGUAAAGCGCGCGCAGGCGGUUUCUUAAGUCUGAUGUGAAAGCCCCCGGCUCAACCGGGGAGGGUCAUUGGAAACUGGGAAACUUGAGUGCAGAAGAGGAGAGUGGAAUUCCACGUGUAGCGGUGAAAUGCGUAGAGAUGUGGAGGAACACCAGUGGCGAAGGCGACUCUCUGGUCUGUAACUGACGCUGAGGCGCGAAAGCGUGGGGAGCGAACAGGAUUAGAUACCCUGGUAGUCCACGCCGUAAACGAUGAGUGCUAAG
rnacentral:rRNA from 2 species